UACGGGGGGGGCAAGCGUUGUUCGGAAUUACUGGGCGUAAAGCGCGCGCAGGCGGUCUUCCAAGUCAGUGGUGAAAGCCCGGAGCUCAACUCCGGAACUGCCAUUGAAACUGUUAGACUUGAGGACGAGAGAGGUGAGUGGAAUUCCCAGUGUAGAGGUGAAAUUCGUAGAUAUUGGGAAGAACACCGGUGGCGAAGGCGGCUCACUGGCUCGUAUCUGACGCUCAGGCGCGACAGCGUGGGGAUCAAACAGG
rnacentral:rRNA from 1 species